AUUGAACGCUGGCGGCAGGCCUAACACAUGCAAGUCGAACGAGUGGCGUACGGGUGAGUAAUGUCUGGGAAACUGCCUGAUGGAGGGGGAUAACUACUGGAAACGGUAGCUAAUACCGCAUACCAUCGGAUGUGCCCAGAUGGGCUUGGCUAGUAGGUGGGGUAAAGGUUCACCUAGGCGAAGAUCCCCAGCUGGUCUGAGAGGAUGACCAGCCACACGGGAACUGAGGAACGGUCCAGAACCCUACGGGAGGAAGCAGGGGGGAAUAUGGCACAAUGGGCGCAAGCCUGAUGCAGCCAUGCGGCGUGUAUGAAGAAGGCCUUCGGGUUGUAAAGUACUUUCAGCGGGGAGGCGUUACCCGCAGAAGAAGCACCGGCUAACUCCGUGCCAGCAGCCGCGGUAAUAC
rnacentral:rRNA from 1 species